CCCGCCGGCGACCGGCGCACGGGUGAGUAACACGUAUGGAACCUGCCCGCAGCAGGGGGAUAAGCGGAAGAAAUUCCGUCUAAUACCGCGUAACACCGCGGAGGGGCAUCCCUCGGCGGUUAAAGAUUCAUCGGCUGCGGAUGGCCAUGCGGCGCAUUAGCUAGUCGGCGGGGUAACGGCCCACCGAGGCGACGAUGCGUAGGGGUUCUGAGAGGAAGGUCCCCCACACUGGUACUGAGACACGGACCAGACUCCUACGGGAGGCAGCAG
rnacentral:rRNA from 1 species